CCUACGGGAGGCUGCAGUGAGGAAUAUUGGUCAAUGGACGAGAGUCUGAACCAGCCAAGUCGCGUGAAGGAUGACUGCCCUAUGGGUUGUAAACUUCUUUUAUAUGGGAAUAAAAUGUUCCACGUGUGGGCUUUUGUAUGUACCAUAUGAAUAAGGAUCGGCUAACUCCGUUCCAGCAGCCGCGGUAAUACGGAGGAUCCGAGCGUUAUCCGGAUUUAUUGGGUUUAAAGGGAGCGUAGGUGGAUUGUUAAGUCAGUUGUGAAAGUUUGCGGCUCAACCGUAAAAUUGCAGUUGAAACUGGCAGUCUAGAGUACAGGAGAGGGGGGCAGAAUUCGUGGUGUAGCGGUGAAAUGCGUAGAUAUCACGAAGAACUCCGAUUGCGAAGGCAGCUCACUGGACUGCAACUGACACUGAGGCGCGAAAGUGUGGGUAUCAAACAGGAUUAGAUACCCGAGUAGUC
rnacentral:rRNA from 1 species